rnacentral:rRNA from 1 species
AGAGUUUGAUCAUGGCUCAGGACGAACGCUUGCGGCGUGCCUAAUGUAUGCAAGUCGAGCGGACGGGGAGAGCUUGCUUUCUCCGUUAGCGGCGAACGGUUGAGUAACACGUAGACAACCUGCCUUCAAGUGGGGGAUAACAGUGGGAAACUGCUGCUAAUACCGCAUGUGGCCCCGGGUGGCAUCACUCGGUGGCUAAAGGAGCAAUUCGCUUGAAGAUGGGUCUGCGGCCUAUCAGUUUGUUGGUGGGGUAACGGCCUACCAAGACGACAACGGGUAGCGGGUCUGAGAGGAUGAUCCGCCAGACGGGGACUGAGACACGGCCCCGACUCCUUCGGGAGGCAGCAAUGAGGGAUAUUGCGCAAUGGGCGAAAGCCUGACGCAGCGACGCCGCGUGGGUGAGGAAGGCCUUCGGGUUGUAAAGCCCUUUUAACCGGGACGAUUCCAGACGGUACCGGUUGAAUAAGCCCCGGCUAACUACGUGCCAGCAGCCGCGGUAAUACGUAGGGGGCAAGCGUUGUCCGGAUUUACUGGGCGUAAAGAGCGCGUAGGCGGAUUGUUAAGCGAGGUGUGAAAGCCCCCGGCUCAACCGGGGAAGGUCGCUUCGAACUGGCAGUCUUGAGGGCGUGAGAGGAGUGUGGAAUUCCUGGUGUAGCGGUGAAAUGCGUAGAUAUCAGGAGGAACACCCGUGGCGAAGGCGGCACUCUGGUGCGCACCUGACGCUGAGGCGCGAAAGCGUGGGGAGCGAACGGGAUUAGAUACCCCCGUAGUCC